rnacentral:rRNA from 1 species
UACGUAGGCAGCGAGCGUUGUUCGGAGUUACUGGGCGUAAAGGGUGUGUAGGCGGUUUUUUAAGUUUGGUGUGAAAUCUCCCGGCUCAACUGGGAGGGUGCGCCGAAUACUGAAUGACUUCGAGUGCGGGAGAGGGAUGCAGAAUUCCAGGUGUAGCGGUGAAAUGCGUAGAUAUCUGGAGGAAUACCGGUGGCGAAGGCGGCAUCCUGGACCGAGAUUGACACUAAAGCGCGAAAGCCAGGGGAGCAAACGGG